rnacentral:rRNA from 1 species
AUUGAACGCUGGCGGCAUGCCUUACACAUGCAAGUCGAACGGCAGCGGACCUUCGGGUGCCGGCGAGUGGCGAACGGGUGAGUAAUGCAUCGGAACGUACCUUUCAGUGGGGGAUAACGUAGCGAAAGUUACGCUAAUACCGCAUAUUCUGUGAGCAGGAAAGCAGGGGAUCGCAAGACCUUGCGCUGAUUGAGCGGCCGAUGUCAGAUUAGCUAGUUGGUGAGGUAAAGGCUCACCAAGGCGACGAUCUGUAGCGGGUCUGAGAGGAUGAUCCGCCACACUGGGAGUGAGGCACGGCCCAGACUCCUACGGGAGGCAGCAGUGGGGAAUUUUGGACAAUGGGGGCAACCCUGAUCCAGCCAUGCCGCGUGAGUGAAGAAGGCCUUCGGGUUGUAAAGCUCUUUCGGCCGGGAAGAAAUCGCACAGGCUAAUACCUUGUGUGGAUGACGGUACCGGAAUAAGAAGCACCGGCUAACUACGUGCCAGCCGCCGCGGUAAGAC